UCUUCUUCUUCCUUCUUCAGUUUUUCUGUUUCUUCUCUAAGUUCCAGCAAACCAAUUCCUCCUUAAAAGCCAAAGCAAAGCUGCAGAAUCAACUCUCUUCUCUUCUCUUUCUUUGGUUUUUCUUCCUCUUCCUCUUGGCUUUACCUCUCCGUAAGUCACUCUCUUUCGUCUCUCUCUUUUCUCUGCUUUCUUUUCUCUUUAACUUGUGGGUGUGUGUUGUGAAGUAGAGGAAGAAAAAAAAAAGAACAAAAAGAUAAAGAAGAGGGGGGAAGACGUACAGGAAAGAAAACAAGAGGAUGAAUAAAAGGGAAGAAAGAAGAGAUAAAAGAAGAAGUAGAAGGUAGCUAAAAUACUGCUCAGAAAAUAUCAGAUGACACUGUAGACUGGAGUCUUUUCUUUAUGGAUGGCAUAGACCCCACCCUAAGAGCAAUAAAUCGAUAAAGACCGAUCUAACUUUUGUAUUGUACAUAUUUGUUUUGAAUUCCUAGAAAUGAGAUGUAAUAACUCAAGAACCACUAUGUAUAUGUUCUUAUAAUGAAAGAUAGCCAUGUGUUAUUCC